rnacentral:rRNA from 1 species
AGAUUGAACGCUAGCGGGAUGCUUUACACAUGCAAGUCGAACGGCAGCGCGGACUUCGGUCUGGCGGCGAGUGGCGAACGGGUGAGUAAUAUAUCGGAACGUGCCCAGUAGCGGGGGAUAACUACGCGAAAGCGUGGCUAAUACCGCAUACGCCCUACGGGGGAAAGGGGGGAUCGCAAGACCUCUCACUAUUGGAGCGGCCGAUAUCAGAUUAGCUAGUUGGUGAGGUAAAGGCUCACCAAGGCGACGAUCUGUAGCUGGUUUGAGAGGACGACCAGCCACACUGGGACUGAGACACGGCCCAGACUCCUACGGGGGCAGCAGUGGGGAAUUUGGACAAUGGGGGAAACCCUGAUCCAGCCAUCCCGCGUGUGCGAUGAAAGCCUUCGGGUUGUAAAGCUCUUUACCCGAGAUGAUAUGACAGUA